UACAGAGGUCCCAAGCGUUGUUCGGAUUCACUGGGCGUAAAGGGUGCGUAGGCGGUCGGGUAAGUCUGAUGUGAAAUCUCACAGCUUAACUGUGAAACUGCAUUGGAUACUAUCCGGCUCGAGGAAUGGAGGGGAGACUGGAAUACUUGGUGUAGCAGUGAAAUUCGUAGAUAUUCGCAAGAACACCAGUGGCGAAGGCGGCUCACUGGCCCGGUACUGACGCUGAGGUGCGAAA
rnacentral:rRNA from 1 species